rnacentral:rRNA from 1 species
GAUGAACGCUGGCGGCGUGCUUAACACAUGCAAGUCGAACGGAAAGGCUCCUGCUUGCAGGGGUACUCGAGUGGCGAACGGGUGAGUAACACGUGGGUGAUCUGCCCUGCACUUCGGGAUAAGCCUGGGAAACUGGGUCUAAUACCGGAUAGGACGAUGGUUUGGAUGCCACUGUGGAAAGUUUUUUCGGUGUGGGAUGAGCUCGCGGCCUAUCAGCUUGUUGGUGGGGUAAUGGCCUACCAAGGCGUCGACGGGUAGCCGGCCUGAGAGGGUGUACGGCAGCAUUGGGAAUGAGAUACGGCCCGGACUCAGACGGGAGGCAGCAGUGGGGAGUAGGGUACGAGGGGCGCAAGCCUGAUGCAGCGACGCGGCGUGGGGGAUGACGGCGGUCGGGUUGUAAAAGCCUUUCGCGAGGGACGAAGCGCAAGUGACGGUACCUGGAGAAGAAGCACCGGCUAACUACGUG